UACAGAGGGUGCAAACGUUGCUCGGAAUCACUGGGCGUAAAGGGCGUGUAGGCGGGCAGGAAAGUCAGAUGUGAAAUCCCUGGGCUCAACCCAGGAACUGCAUUUGAAACUCCCUUUCUUGAGUACCGGAGAGGAAGGUGGAAUUCCUGGUGUAGAGGUGAAAUUCGUAGAUAUCAGGAGGAACACCGGUGGCGAAGGCGGCCUUCUGGACGGUAACUGACGCUGAGACGCGAAAGCGUGGGGAGCAAACAGG
rnacentral:rRNA from 1 species